AUAUUACACAGAACACCGAUUGCGAAGGCAGCUUACUGGGCCAUUACUGACGCUGAUGCACGAAAGCGUGGGGAGCGAACAGGAUUAGAUACCCUGGUAGUCCACGCCGUAAACGAUGAUCACUCGCUGUUAGCGAUACACAGUUAGCGGCUAAGCAAAAGCAUUAAGUGAUCCACCUGGGGAGUACGGCCGCAAGGCUGAAACUCAAAGGAAUUGACGGGGGGCCCGCACAAGCGGAGGAACAUGUGGUUUAAUUCGAUGAUACGCGAGGAACCUUACCUGGGCUUAAAUGUAGAGUGCAUGAAGUGGAAACAUUUCUUUCCUUCGGGACUCUUUGCAAGGUGCUGCAUGGUGUCGUCAGCUCGUGCCGUGGGUUUCGGGUUAAGUCCCAUAACGAGCGCAACCCUUAUCGUUGUGCCAGCGGGUAAGCCGGGAACUCUAACGAAACUGCCGGUGUAAACCGUGAGGAAGGUGGGAUGACGUCAAAUCAGCACGGCCCUUAUGUCCAGGGCUACACACGUGUUACAAUGGCCGGUACAGAGGGCAGCUACCUGAGACAGGAUGCGAAUCUCCAAAGCCGGUCUCAGUUCGGAUCGGAGUCUGCAGCUCGACUCCGUGAAGCUGGAUUCGCUAGUAAUCGCGCAUCAGCCAUGGCGCGGUGAAUACGUUCCCGGGCCUUGUACACACCGCCCGUCAAGCCAUGGAAGUUGGGGGUACCUGAA
rnacentral:rRNA from 1 species